rnacentral:rRNA from 1 species
UACGAAGGGGGCUAGCGUUGUUCGGAAUUACUGGGCGUAAAGGGCGCGUAGGCGGCUGUGCAAGUCAGAUGUGAAAGCCCUGGGCUCAACCCAGGAUGUGCAUUUGAUACUGCGCGGCUAGAGUGUCGGAGAGGAUGGUGGAAUUCCCAGUGUAGAGGUGAAAUUCGUAGAUAUUGGGAAGAACACCAGUGGCGAAGGCGGCUCACUGGCCCGGUACUGACGCUGAGGUGCGAAAGCGUGGGGAGCAAACAGG